UAAGUAGGUCAGGUAAUCGCGGAAGAAAAAUAUUUUCUUCCGAGGAAAGUCCGAGCUCCAUAGGGCAGAGUGCUGGGUAAUCCCCAGUGAGGGUAACCUCGAGGAAAGUGCUACAGAAAAUACACAGCCUAACACUUAAAUCUGAUACCAGACUUGAGUGUAGGGUAAAGGUGAAAAGGCAGGGUAAGAGCCUACCAGUUGUUAGGUGACUAACAAGCUUAGCAAACCCCACUUGGAGAAAGACCAAAUAGGAAGAGGUGUAGCGGCCCGCUUUAAUCUUCGGGUAGGUCGCUAGAGAUGUAAGGUAACUUACAUCCAAGAUAGAUGAUUACCGCCCUUAUAAUUUAAUAAGGGAACAAAACUCGGCUUAUGAUCUACUUAUCAG
rfam:Candidatus Atribacteria bacterium CG2_30_33_13 cg2_3.0_scaffold_22978_c, whole genome shotgun sequence.